rnacentral:rRNA from 1 species
GCAUAUCAAUAAGCGGAGGAAAAGAAACCGACAGGGAUUGCCCUAGUAACGGCGAGUGAAGCGGCAACAGCUCAAAUUUGAAAUCUGGCUCCUUCGGUGCCCGAGUUGUAAUUUGCAGAGGGUGCUUUGGUGUUGGCUGUGGUCCAAGUUCCCUGGAACAGGACGUCGCAGAGGGUGAGAACCCCGUACGUGGCCGCCAGCCUUCGCCAUGUAAAGCCCCUUCGACGAGUCGAGUUGUUUGGGAAUGCAGCUCUAAAUGGGAGGUAAAUUCCUUCUAAAGCUAAAUAUUGGCCAGAGACCGAUAGCGCACAAGUAGAGUGAUCGAAAGAUGAAAAGCACUUUGGAAAGAGAGUGAAACAGCACGUGAAAUUGUUGAAAGGGAAGCGCUUGGAGCCAGACGUGCCCGCGGAUGCUCAGCCGGGGUUUUCCCCGGUGCACUCUUCCGCGGGCAGGCCAGCAUCAGUUUGGGCGGUCGGACAAAAGCCUGCUAAACGUACCUCCCUCCGGGGAGGACUUAUAGGGUAGGUGGCAUACGACCAGCCCGGACUGAGGACCGCGCAUCUGCUAGGAUGCUGGCGUAAUGGCUGUAAGCGGCCCGUCUUGAAACACGGACCAAGGAGUCUAACAUCUAUGCGAGUGUUUGGGUGUCAAGCCCGAGCGCGCAAUGAAAGUGAAGGCAGGUGGGAACCCUUUGGGUGCACCAUCGACCGAUCCUGAUGUCUUCGGAAGGAUUUGAGUAAGAGCAUAGCUGUUGGGACCCGAAAGAUGGUGAACUAUGCCUGAAUAGGGUGAAGCCAGAGGAAACUCUGGUGGAGGCUCGCAGCGGUUCUGACGUGCAAAUCGAUCGUCAAAUUUGGGCAUAGGGGCGAAAGACUAAUCGAACUAUCUAGUAGCUGGUUCCUGCGA